CUGCACUGUUUUUCUUCCCCAGACGCGACCAAACCCAGAAAAUUAAAUCGCAACUCCAGCAAAGAACGCGACCCGACCCAGCUCUCGCGUCCCUCUCCCUCUCUCCUCACGCGUGUUCAUCCGUAUGCGAAUCUUUCCAGAUGUCUUUAGCUCUUUGCCUCAAUCAUCCUCUGCUCGAAUCGAACGACUGCAAUGCUUUUUCUGCUGAAGAAUGGUACAAGAAUCGUACUGUUCCGGCAGCAGCAUUAUCCUCUAGCAAGGAUUUGAAUUUCAAAUUUCGAAUUCAGAAGCUCCCUCCCAUUUUUCCCUCUUAAACCGAGCCCCAUUUUCCUCUUAUAAAUAGUCCAUGUUCAUCUUGAUUGAGAGAGGGGGGAUGGCUUAUUUUGGGUUGGAAAAAAUAUACAUUGGAGAGAGCUGCCAUUAGAGACGAAAUUACAAUAAAAUUGUUAGCUAUACAACUUUAUAUAAAAUACUUAAGGAUGGACCUUGAAAUCAGAGAGUGAGAGUUCAAAUUUUUGUUCAGUCUUCUUGCUUAUGUCUUGAACACGGAAGUUUCUCGAAAUCAUAUUUCAGUGGUGGUGAAGUCGCUUCCAUGCUCGUCUAGUUCCCGUUCGCUGCUCCGAGAAAGACGCAGGUAACCAGGAUCAACAUCUAGCGCCUCGUUGAUUCAGCUUGAGCAUUCAAAGUCUGUUGGUGAGCCUCCUUGCAUUUAGGAGGACUCCUUAUUUGCUUUCUAGUCUUUCAGAUGUUAGGAUGAUCGGGGGUCCUGUCCCGACAUCCCUCUUUGUUUUAGAGGCUUCAUAGACAGUUAGUAGUUCAAUUGUCUUUGCAUUAUUGUUCUUAUGUUAAAGACUUGGGUUGUCACUUUUGGCCAAGUUGAAUGUUUAAUCUUUAAAACAUUCUCAGUUAUUUUAUUAUUCAGUUCAAUUAA